rnacentral:rRNA from 1 species
GUCCAAAGGUCGAGCGGACAGAUGGGAGCUUGCUCCCUGAUGUUAGCGGCGGACGGGUGAGUAACACGUGGGUAACCUGCCUGUAAGACUGGGAUAACUCCGGGAAACCGGGGCUAAUACCGGAUGGUUGUCUGAACCGCAUGGUUCAGACAUAAAAGGUGGCUUCGGCUACCACUUACAGAUGGACCCGCGGCGCAUUAGCUAGUUGGUGAGGUAACGGCUCACCAAGGCGACGAUGCGUAGCCGACCUGAGAGGGUGAUCGGCCACACUGGGACUGAGACACGGCCCAGACUCCUACGGGAGGCAGCAGUAGGGAAUCUUCCGCAAUGGACGAAAGUCUGACGGAGCAACGCCGCGUGAGUGAUGAAGGUUUUCGGAUCGUAAAGCUCUGUUGUUAGGGAAGAACAAGUGCCGUUCAAAUAGGGCGGCACCUUGACGGUACCUAACCAGAAAGCCACGGCUAACUACGUGCCAGCAGCCGCGGUAAUACGUAGGUGGCAAGCGUUGUCCGGAAUUAUUGGGCGUAAAGGGCUCGCAGGCGGUUUCUUAAGUCUGAUGUGAAAGCCCCCGGCUCAACCGGGGAGGGUCAUUGGAAACUGGGGAACUUGAGUGCAGAAGAGGAGAGUGGAAUUCCACGUGUAGCGGUGAAAUGCGUAGAGAUGUGGAGGAACACCAGUGGCGAAGGCGACUCUCUGGUCUGUAACUGACGCUGAGGAGCGAAAGCGUGGGGAGCGAACAGGAUUAGAUACCCUGGUAGUCCACGCCGUAAACGAUGAGUGCUAAGUGUUAGGGGGUUUCCGCCCCUUAGUGCUGCAGCUAACGCAUUAAGCACUCCGCCUGGGGAGUACGGUCGCAAGACUGAAACUCAAAGGAUUGACGGGGGCCCGCACAAGCGGUGUAGCAUGUGGAUUAAUUCGAAGCAACGCGAGAACCUUACAAGUCUUGACAUCCUCUGACAAUCCUAAGAGAUAGGACGUCCCCUUCGGGGCAGAGUGACAG